UGUCUUUUUGAGAAUAAUAUAAGGUCUAAUCUGCCCACUGAUUUAAUUGAAGGGCUGCAGUAUAUUGACUGUACAAAGGUAGCAUAAUCAUUAGUCAUUUAAUUGAUGACUUGUAUGAAGGAUUGGAUGAAAUAUAAACUGUCUCUUUAUUAAUAAUAGAAUUUAAUUUUUUUAUUAAAAAGUUAAAAUAUUUUAAAAAGACGAGAAGACCCUAUAGAGUUUUAUAAAUAAAAUAAUUAAGAUUAUUUAAUUUAAUAAAAUUAAGAUUAUAUUAUUUAUUUUGUUGGGGUGACAGAAAAAUAUAUUUAACUUUUUUUUUAUUUAAAACAUUUAUAAGUGGUUAAAUGAUCCAAUAUUAUUGAUUAUAAGAAAAAAUUACCUUAGGGAUAACAGCGUAAUUUUUUUUUUUAGUUCAAAUAAGAAAAAGAGUUUGCGACCUCGAUGUUGGAUUAAGAUAAAAUUUAAAUGCAGAAG
rnacentral:rRNA from 1 species